GAUGAACGCUAGCGGCAGGCCUAAUACAUGCGAGUCGAACGAGAUUAAGAGGCUUGCUUCUUAUGAAAGUGGCGCACGGGUGCGUAACGCGUAUGCAACCUACCUUAAUCAGGGGGAUAGCCCGAAGAAAUUCGGAUUAAGACCGCAUAAAAACACAGGAUAGCAUUAUCCAAUGUUCAAAUAUUUAUAGGAUUAAGAUGGGCAUGCGUGUCAUUUGCUAGUUGGCGGGGUAACGGCCCACCAAGGCGACGAUGACUAGGGGAUCUGAGAGGAUGACCCCCACAACGGGUACUGAGACACGGACCAGACUCCUACGGGAGGCAGCAGUAAGGAAUAUUGGGCAAUGGAGGGAACUCUGAACCAGCCAUGCCGCGUGCAGGAAGACAGCCCUCUGGGUCGUAAACUGCUUUUAUUCGGGAAUAAACCUUUCUACGUGUAGGAAGCUGAAGGUACCGAAGGAAUAAGGAUCGGCUAACUCCGUG
rnacentral:rRNA from 1 species